GAAAAGUAUCCUCGUUGUUGGACGUUUGUGCACAGUUUCUCAACUUGAGUACUAACUUUCGCUGAGACCUUGGCCGCCUGCAUUCACCCACGUCCGAAGUCUCUGCGGGACUCUUCUUCGGAGGUUCAUCGUCUUCACGUUCCUGAGUUUUUGUAAGAACUUUCCCGUUGCGUAGAAGCCUCUGGUUCUCGUUCUCUCCAGAUGUACCAGGUCUUUUGGCAUCCUCAGCGGCCAGGUGGCGUGCUCCGUCGUCUUCGUACUCAUGUAAGCUCGAAAACAUGGUCAAGGCAUUCCGAGCUGCCAUCCUCAUAGGCCUCAAUGCAUGGUCCGUGUUUGACUUUCUUAUCAGACCUCAAUAUAGACUUUAGUUUCCUCAUCGGCAUCAAAAGUGCAUUGUAUGACUCCUCCAAGCGCCAGCGCUUUUGCUUCCUGACCAAGGUCGCAAGUAUCUGUAAUGGAUUAUCAGAAACACAAAAACUUCACGUACAUACCUUUCUCCUUCUUCGGGUACGAACCACUUCAGAAUCUAAUUCGUCAUUUUCUUUGUCGGUUGUUUCCGAUUCACAGAUCGUACCACUUUCUUCAUUUCCAUCCUCGUCACUCAAGAAACUGGGAUAAAGAAGUCACCGGCUUGAGUGACGAGUCUGGUUCUGACUACUGCGCGAGCGAAGAAAGCUCUCCGCCGGUUGUUCUACCCAUCUGUUGCCUUGCUCGUUUGUUUGCUCAAUCGCUUGCAGAGAAGAAACUGAGGCUUAUCCUGAGGAAUGAAAGCUGGAUCAUCAAACGUUCCCACUGCGAGCUGAACUGAUGGUGGUUGCCAGUAGCAACCUAGGAGUCCCAGACGACGUUGCUGGUACGAGCUUUGAUAAGGUUCUGGAUAGGGAAUCAAGCCUGAAAAUGAAACAGAAAAAUAAGUUGGCCGAGGUAAGAAGUCACCAGCUUACUUGCAUCGCACAAGAGAUCUUGAAGAUUCCUUUGAUGAGGAGGCAACCGAGUUUCCUGUUAAAGAAAGACAUUCAGUUCGCACAAGAAUAAUACCGGACAGGAACAACACUCAGGACUAAAACUAAAUAAAAGCACUUACAUCAUUUUAUUUACCUGAUCGAGAACGUUUCCAGAAAAAACAAAAAUAAUAAAUAAUAAAUGCAAAAACAAGAAGCUAUUGGAUGAAAGAUAAAAAGCAAAAUCUUCCUGAUACCUGAUCGUAUUACGCACCUUCGUCGUCUUGACUACCAACGAGGUUCCAUCCCUGAAAAUUAGCAAACGUGAAAUCCAGGAUAAAUGGAUAUGAGAGCAAGCAUACGGUGAAAAUUGUCAUCGACAAGAUUAUAAUCUCCAGUCUCAUAUGUUCUUACUGGAUGGCCCUGCCAGAUCUAAAACAAUCAAGUGAAAUUCGUCAUCAUUCUUUUGAGCGAACACACUUACAUCCCAGACAGUAUCUCUGCCAUCGUAGCCCGGACUCAUUGCAAUAUGAGGAUUGCAUGGAUGUACAUCUGGCACGUAAGUCUCGGCAAUCUGCACAUCCAUGUUAUUCCAUGAGAGCCCCAUAAGAUGUCUUUACCUUGUCAUCCUUGAAAAAGUCGACGGAAGAAACUUUGAUUGGCUCUGCACAACCACUGGAACAAAGGACGAUUGAUGUCAACAAAGACGCGAACCUGAACUGCACGUAGUUAACUUCUUGCGCCCCAAACCUGUUCAAACAAUUGCUAGAAAUAUAAACAGUCCACUUUUAAUGCUUACCCUGGCAAGCUUGUCCGAAUUCCCAGUGACGAAAUAUGAUCCAUCUGCAUUAAACACACAGAACUGAAUCUGAUUCGUAUCCUGUGCUCCAUUCUCAGCUCCUGCAGCUGGAAACAAGCUUUUAGAAGACCAAAAAAACAUCGGCAGACUCUUUACAUUCGGGCUCGACAUCCGGCUUCGGCAUGUAGACACGUGAAUUGACAGAGGUUCCGUCUUAAACUUGAUGGCCGUUACGUGGUCACGAAGUGUUGCAACCGGAACACCAUCUGGUAAUCCCCACUAAAGGCAGAAGCAAAACGAAUCAAAACAAAAAAACAGGAGGAAUCGUUAGAAGCUGAUGCAACUAAAGUGUUCGAACUACUUACAGACAAAUCGGCUAUCUCCCACAAAAAAGCCAGGUUUUUAAGCACAGUAAUCGAAACCAGCCAGCCAGCCAGGUUCUUGCAUAGUCCAAACCUCCGCAGCUACGAAGGCGAAGCCUAUUUUCUACUGCGAUGCAUUGCAAAUCCACCACCAAGUUCGAGAGCAUGAACUUGGUCAGCUUGCCAAUGCAUUGGUCUAUUCGCUUCGUAGAGAUACUUGUAGCAUUUCUUUGCUCCGCUGCCAGUGGUUUGCUCGGAUCAGCAACGGCAAGAUUCGAAAAGAUUCGAAAAGACAAGGCUUACAUUCCAAAAGCGAGAAUGCUCCUGAUCCCGAAAGGGGAGGAACGUCUGCUUGGGAACUUUCGCAUCACGCGAACAAGCAGUUGCUGCAAGAGCUUGUUGUCAACGUUCUUACACCUGCAAAUCAUCUCCUUGUCAACAUGGAAAACCAAUAAAUGAUUUCGCGACACACAGUACCUCGGCAACUUGCGCGUCGCGGAGUGGGAACGACAAACAUCGUCAUUUUCAUCAGCGGUGGGCGUCCCAUUCCUGGAGAAAAAUUCAUGGUACCUCCGGGGCAAGAACUUGUGCUGUAGGAACUCGUUCCAGAGCUGGCCAGUGGCUCUCUCGCAAGGGCCGCGACUCAGGAAAUGCAUGAUAAGGAAAUGGAGAUCACCUCGAUCUCCUCGUUCAGCUCUCCAUGUUUCAGGUCCGGUGAGUCUGCACGAGCCGUCAGCUAAGCUGCAUGAACCCGUUGAAGACAGAAGCUUGAAAGCUUUGAUUGAAUCGUGUUCCAUUAUCACACAAAGCAAUUGAAGUGUACCCAGUGAAAUCCGGGUCUGCUGAAUGAAUAGUUCACCUACAAGAAAGUACUAUUAGACACUGCCAAGCCACGUCCAUGUCUAUGUUCUUGCCCGGAAAUGACUUACUAUCAGAAGCUCAAGACAUGAGUCAUUUUAUUUCGAGAAAACGAAGAUCCGAAUCAGAAGCUUUUUCCCUGUCGAAAAACAAAAUAGUUUUGUCGAGCUUUCUAUGAAUCAACUACCGAUCACUGAACAUGGUCAGCAGCAGCAGCGCCACUUCUGUGCGGUUUGCACACCACUGGAUGAUGAAAUAAUUUCAAGAUUCGCACAAGUCAGAACUUCACAAAUGCUUACCGGAUUAGCUUGGCCCUGGGCUGCCUCAGCUCGCAGAGCAUCUCGCAGCAUCCUCAGUUCCUCCCUCAAGGCACCAAAAUCCUGUAUCACCUGCCUGAGGCUGGGAAGGUCCGCCUUGAGAACUCCACGGAGAGCCUGCAGAUCCUCCUUGAGAGCUCCACGGAGAGCCUGUAGAUCCUCCUUCGCUGCUCCCCUGGUUGAAGAAGCCAUGGUGAUGACGCUCUUGGUGAGGAGGUUGAUGAUGAGCAUGGUUGCAAUGCAAGUUGCCGCAAUGACAACACAAGCACCCGCGACCGCCACAAUCACAACAUCCAUGGAAGCUGCGGAGACGACGAACCCUAGAUUUUACAUGGAGGGUUGCUCACACUAACCCUGGCUAUGGCCUUCCGCGCGAUUAAUAAUCUGAGCUCGAGAGUUGGUAAAAUAGAAGUUCCGAGUCGGAACGUAGGUCGAGGCUUCUUGAGAGGGCAGCCGGUACCAGAAAUGGGUCUUGGUAUCAAAGAGACUAAUUGACUGUUUUAAUUUUCUUUAGUUUAUUUUCAAACAGAUGAACUGCGAAAUGGGACGUCAAUUCAAAACAUGUUGGAAGAUCCAGAUUCCUUGCUGGCUACAAGUUGUUGUAAGCUAAACGAAUGCUAAUCUGUAGGAAGAGUUUUUCUUCCUGGCUAACUAGAGAACCUAACUGAAACUCUGGAGAACUAGUUUACCAAUAGAGAGAGUUUGAAGAGCUUGAAAACCUGUAAUGUGGUUUUGGAAAUUCUUGGUUAUUGGUAGGCUCGUAAAGGCCCUGGGUGAACCAGAUAACCUUUAGUGUAUGAGCUCCACAAUGCUCAGAUAUGGAACUGAAGGUAUUAGAUUGUGGAAGCGUUGAAAUGCAGGCAUAACCGAAAGGCUUGGUGGAGUGAAACCACCUCAUGUUUGGAUAGAACUUGUCCCUGUGAGAGAUGUGGAUUUCUGGUUGUCCGAGUUUUUUUAUUAUCUAGGAUUAGUGGCUUGUGGGGGAAAUAACUAACCGAAUGCUAGUGAAUAUGCAAGUCACUGAAGGCAGCUGAAACUCUAUUAGGUGGUUUUCAUCAAAGAGUGUAAUUUCACUUGGAGAAACAAGAUGGUAUGUCUUUUGGCAAUUAAUGGGCGAACGUGGUGGGUGGAGUACCAGUUGUUUUAGUACCCUAUUGAGAGUGGAGAGCACUGACGCUACUAACCACUUAGUGCCAAAGGAACAAAGGAAACCUUGCAAUGCGAAUUAAGCUGAGUCUAUUGUGCCUGGUAUCUGGUUUAUUAGAACUUGUGUAAUAAGAGUUUAAAUAUUGACAAAAUGAAAUUUGUUGCCAUUGAAAGAGUAAUGGGACUUAGCAUAGAGGUGGAUGAAGUCCUCUUUUGCUUUGUUGAUAUAUUACUUAAUUGUUAUCUAUCUUCAUAGGAGCGACCUCGGUGGGUGAAGAAGUACCAAAUGCAAAGGAACUCUUGGUUGGGAGGUCUUAGACCUCCUUAGCAAGUUGUGAAAAAAGCUAAUGGGAAUGGCACUUGCAGGUCGAACAGGCAAGCAGUUACGUUGACGAGUUUAUGGCCUGGUAUAUGAAGAUGCACGAGCUAGAUAUGUACCAGAGGAUGCGUGAGAACAAGGAGUUAGUGCGACAAUUUUACAUUCUCAGUUAUUUGAGUUCGAAAAGAAUGACAUUCAGGCAAGUCUUUAAUUGGUUUCUUUAUUUAUAUUUAUCUAUUUAUGGUUUUUCAAAUGGAAAAAUGAUGCACUCCCUGAAAAUUUUGGAUGUAUGUGGAGCAGGCUCAUGUGUGACAUUAGCGAUUUUGAAGUGUAGUACUGUCCUUUCUGGCUGGAUUUCCUUCCCGGUGGCUGUCCGGAAUGGGAGAUGGCCAGCUACAAGAUACACAAGUCAGCAAGAUCGGCCACCAAGGGCAGCAAGGGCCAGGCUUUUUCUUCAGCCCCGUCGCCAGAUCGGAAGAAGGUGAUAUGUUGAGGAUGCUGAUGCCAGAGAACGGAAACGGGAGUUGGGAAAUCAUUCAUGCAGAUUCAGGAAACCUUGCAGUCCAGUAGUACUUCAAAGCUGGGACCUUUUCCGCCAGGACUAAAGGAGCUUGAGGAUUGGAUUGUCAGUCACAGGUCAAGCUGAACUGUUCACUUUUUUGUGCAAAGUCUCUACCGAAAUGUGUCCAGGGAGCUGUUCAUCUUCUCAUCAUCGAUUCGCCUACUAGAUGCGUUGCUGAGCCGGGGGUGGUUGAUCAGUAUACGGAGUUCUCGGAUGCUUUACUGAAGAACUUGGUGAACCCUGCUUUCGGGAUACUAGACAGAGCUGGCUACAUGGUGGUGUUUGUGCUAUCGGAUGAUUUGCCGGCUUUGAAUAACACUGCAGAAACUUGCAAGCUGAAGUUCCUGCAGACAAACUACGUGCACACGGCAAGGUCCUGGGGAUACCGUAUUUUUAGAAAGGUUAUUCUGAGUUAAAUGGCGACCAGCACAAAUCGUUGAUGUGGCAGGACUCGCUAACGUGGUGGGACUCGCUGAUAUGGCAGGACAUGCUGAUGUGGCGGGACUCACUGACACGGCAGGACUGGAGAGCAGAGGUAAAACAAACUCUGUGUUGAGUUAAGUAGCGGCCAACACAAAUCGCUGAUGUGCCAGGACUCCUGGAAAGGUAACUCAUCCUUUCGAAAUUGGUACUUUUUAAUGUGGAAAGCAUCAUUGCCAUGUGUAUUUUCGGUUCCCCCUACUCCAAGGUUGCAAAGAACAGGGACAUCCUGAACACAUGCUACACUCCUUGACGAGCCAGAAGAUUUCCAGUUCCCAUGGUAUACUAUUGUUUGUUAGCAGAUAGCAGCGAAAAUAGUUGAAGAGUUAUGUUUAUACUAGCAAUUGCCAGCAAAUGCUGGGUGGUUGGCAAAUUUGAUGCCAUUUGAAGAGGUUUCCUGAGCUUAGCUAUGUUUGCUAUUUCAACUGAAAGACAUUCUCUUGACAAAAUGUGUUAUAAGCAUUAUAUAAGCUAGAUUAGAUCACUAUUGAGUUGCAUUCCUCCAUUUUGAACACAAAAAGCCCAAAGAAUACUUCCAAGUCCAUCUUUGGUGCAGGUGUUGCUACUUGUUCCACAGCCCGCUAGAGAGGUUCCUGGGAUGAGCUGAAAACCAUUAUAUUGCAAUGAGAGCUGCACUCAAGAAGCAAUAGGAUGAAAAGUAUACUUCUGCCAUUAGCAACUUAAUAGCAUGUUGCCAUAACUAAAAUGGGACACCAUCCAAGGCACACCAGUCAAUGCUAGCUUUGUUGUGGUGUGCACUUGAAACUCACAAUUGCAAGUCAAGGGUGGCUGAGUAGAUAGUUUUGUGGAAUCAUGGUUAUAUUUAGAAUUGUGCCAUGUAUUUGUCAAUCUACUUAAGAAUUUCAGCAUAGACUGUAUUCACAGUGUAAAAGUGUUGAUCAUGUGGUAUAAGAUUGCCUUGAAGGGGGGUUACAAGCACUUGAACACGAAGUUGUUCAAGUGAUCUACACCUUGACAAAGCAACAUAAAGUUGACCAUGUGUGAAAACAAGUUGGGGGAGGUAAAUGCCAACAUGGUUGAAAGUUUGGCCUUGGGCUUUAGAAAUAAUUAAGCAAUAACCCAGACGAACUGGGAAUUGUCUUUGGGACAUCUUGAAAGGGAUUUCAAUAUCAGAAGAUGUAAGGGUAAUAUGUGGAAUAAAAACUCGCGAUCCCUUGAAUUGUCCCGUGAUAAUUUCACAAUCUAAAACGUUUUGAAAUGCUUGCUUGAGAAUGAGGUGAGUGUCAUUGCAUAAACCAAUUUGUGGAGAUAUGUUCCUAAGAAGAAUCAAAAUCACAUUUUUUUUUAGAAUUAAUUUGUGUGGUGGUAGUCCCGAUGGGGUGAUUGAAUUUAAGAAUUCAAUUGGGAACUCUUUAGGGUGAUAUGAGUCAACCGUGUCAAUGCUCAAAUAAACAUAUGGAUCACCUGGUAGUCUUCCAACAAUGUUAUUAUUUAUUCUAAAUGUGUCAUCAUUGAGUGGGGUGAGAAUAACCUUUGAUGUAGUUGUAUAGGUAUUUAUAAUAUCAUCGGUAUUUGGGAAAACAAAGUUUACAAUAGGUGUAGAGAUAGAUAAUGCAUGUGGUAUUUUGAUAAUAUUUGGUGGGAGACAUGGCAACUGCAAACUACUAUCAUCAUUGCCAAGUUUGAGAAGCCAUUCAGAAAAACAAAGAUUGCUUGAAUGCAUAUUCUUUGUUAGUGUUAGUGUUGUAAAAAGUGACCAUAGUCUAUUCAUUUUAAUUGAGCUUGAAAUAAUAAAGGUUCUAUGGCCAUGGGGAACAACAGGAAAGGUUUGACGAAAGUCACCACUUGUAAUCACUAUAACGCCUCCAAAUGGUUUAGAAUUACAUUUGAGAUGCUUUAAACAUUUAUCAACCACAGAGAAAGCAUGUGUGUGGACCAUACUAAUUUCAUCCCAUGUGAGAACAUUUGCUUGUUUAAUGGUUUUUCCAAUAUCACUAUUAAUUGUUAAAGCAGAGACAGAAGUUUCAUUUAAAGGAACAGGAAGUUUAAAAGUUGUAUGUGUUGUUUGACCAUAUUUUAGCAAAAUGUUUGCAAUCCCAGUCCAUGCCAUACUGAUUACUUUUAUUUUUUAAAAUUGUAAUGCUGUAAUGAUGGUAUUAAGUAGAAAAGUUUUUCCAGUACCAUCAAUAAAGAAACAUUGAUGUUGGUUAGUGUCAAUGGCAUUUAUAAUGAGUUCAAAAAUAUAACGUUAUUCAUAACUGAAUUGAUUUAUGUUUGCAUUUAUUUGGUCUUGUGAUGGGUCAUGGAUCUCUAUAUUAAGCAUGUGUUUGAUAAUGGGAGUAAGAGUUGGGAGUGGUAAACCAAAAUCACAAUUAGAUUUAUUGUGUAGUUGGAAUUUUGAAUUAAUAUCGACUAAAACAAUGUCAAAAUAGUUUAUAUCAUUUCUAGCAUAAUCCUCAAACAUAUCAAUUUUGAAUUGAUCCCAUAAUAGAAUUGGAUCUUUUGGUGAACAAUACAAAUAAAUAAAAACAAAUAAUUGUCUUAAUUGGGAUGGCAUUUUAAAAGUAGAAACUUCUUGCAUGCAAUGUUGCCAUUCUGAAUCAUCUGCUAAAAGUCCCAUUGCCAUAACUACUUGUUUAAAAGAGGAGAAAAUAACAUCUUUGACAGUACAUAUAUCCUCAAAUGAUAUAACACCUUUUUUAUGGAAUAAUAUAAACCACAAGUGGUACAACUCAUUAUUAGAAGGAGAUAUGGAAUACAUUCUUGGUAUGAGUUUAGCUUUUCGCUUGUGUAAUUGCCAUUUAUGAGAGGAUUUGUUAUAUGUGUAAUGUAACGAAAUUUGAGCAUAUGUAUAUUGCCUUGCAUUAAUAUAUUGCAUGUUUAAAUUGAACUAUUGUGUAAACAUUGUUCCAUUUUGAGUGGCUCUUUCUAGUGCUUCUUGUUCAUGACUUGGUUUGAAAUAGACAUUUUGAAAAUUGGGUAAAUGAAUUGGAAGGUGUAUAAUAGUUAGUGAUUUAUCAUGCAUACGAAACUUAAAUAUAUGCCACAUAGCUUCAGGAGCAGAAAUAUAUCGAGCAUCGACAAAACUUGAGAUUUCAUCCCAAUUUAAAGUCCCUCGUUCUUCAGAUGCAAUUAGGAAUUCUAAUGUUGCACAAUCAUAACCUUUGUAUACAUAUUGAAAUAAAUAUUUAAUACUUUUAAUAGAAGCGCAGAUCUCUACAUUAAUGUGUGCUUUAUAUUUUUUACAAAGGUAUUUAUUAUAAGGAACAACCCAUCUAUUGUCAAUAGUACAACCAUUCUUUAUGAAAAUGCGUCUGUUAUUGGGUCGGUAGUAAUCAGGAUAACCAUCAACACAAUAAAUGGUUUCAACAUUAAAUUCUUUUGGAUAAUUUUUAGAGCAUUUAUUAUUUUCCAUAUAAGGGCUUCUAGGAUUUAAAUUACCAUAUAGACCAUGUAUCAUAUGAUUUAUAAUUAUGUUAUGCAAUUCUGGUUCUAGCAGUGGGUGUGGCAACUAUGCGGUGACAAAUUCAUCAACCGAAUCACGAUUUCUUAUCUUGUCUUCACUUGAUAACAUUGCUAAGAAAUGACAAUGAGGCAAACCUCUUUUCUAGAAUUCAAUAACAUAAACAUAUGCUAUGCACUUCCCAAAAAUUCCUUUGAUACUUAUGUCAUGUAGGAAUUCUUUAAGCUUUAAGUUGAAAACUCUUGAAAUAAGAUUAGGUCGAUCCUCAGGUGAUUCAUUCAGUUGUAAGUUUUGCACAAUUUCAGGCCACUUUGGGUUGUAUGUAAAUAUAAUAAAUAAGUCAGAUUUCCAAAAUGUGUGACAAUAGCAAUAGCAUCUUGAUAAUAUUGUUGCAUUACUCGUGGGCUACCAAGAAAUGUAGAAGGCAAAAUUAUAACUUUUCCAGGUUCAGCAUUAUUAGUAACAACUCUGUUGCUAACAUAGUCCAUAAUACCUGUGUAGUAAUCCACUUUUAAGUGUUUUUGAUAAGUACGAAAGAAAUUAAGGUUGUUAGAUUCAACCUUUACAUAUGCAUCAACUAUAAAUUGUUGAGUGAGUUUCUCAGCAUGUAGCAAUUGAUCAUAAAGGAAAGAGUUGCCAAUGCUAUCUCGUUGAGAUAAUCAAUAUGCAUAGUACUGGAGUAGCGUUACAUGCAACUCAUUGUGAUAGAUUUUUUCAUGCCAACCUUUAUCACCAAAUGGUAAAAGUAAAGGAUAAACCAUAGGAUCAUAAUUUUCAUUAAGAAUAGAGAUUUUUGUUGGCUGUGAGUUAUAUGGAUGUAUGCAUAUUUCUCUAUCAAGAGAUGGCUCACCCUCAUCAAUAGUGAAAACAAUAGCAACAUCAUUAGUCCGUGGUAAAUUAUAACAAUGUAGAUUAAUACUUUCACUUCUAACAAUCAUAUAAACACCAUGUUUUGGAGUUCCAUUGCAAAUUGAGCGAUAUUGUUCUUGUGAUUCAAGAUUAUACAUCAUUUGAAAAGCUUGUGCAUACGGGUUUAUUGUUCUUAGCAAUUUAUCUAAUUGUAAUAAUAAAUUAGAAUCACAAUUUGUGUUGAAUGGGUUUUGCUUUCUAAUAUUUGUAGCCUUAGAUGCGUCAAGCAUGUAAAGUUGUCCAUAUGAUGGUGGCACGUUAGCAGCAGGAUAUGCUGUAGCAAUAUUGUGAUAAAUUUGACCAUGUAUUCUAAAGCAAUAUGAGCCUUUACCACUUAAAUUAUCAAUAUUAUCACCCAUUGAUGCAAAAGCUAAAGCACUGUUGAAAUUUCUUAUGUUAAUUUUAAAAUUGAAGUUUUUAUUUUCAUUAAAAAGCAUAUGCAAUAUAGUAGGUAAAGAUGAAAGUUGGGGAAGGGAAACCUUUCCAUUCUGGCAGCACAUUGAUUUUGACUCAUUUUCAAAAUGUAAUGCACCACAAAAGACAUAUAUGGAUGACAUAUUUCCAAUAUUAAACGUAUGUAUUUUAUGGUCAUUAUAAUUCUUUUGAUGUGCUAAUUUAUAGACUGUAUAACUGUGAUGAUUACAUAUAUUUGUAUUAGUUUCAUUAGCAUUUUCAAGGUUUAUAUUUGUAUGACCUUCAUCAGCAUAUGCUAUGUUUGUAUUAGCAUUGUCAAGAUUUGAAGUAAUUUUUUCAUUAGCAUGUUCAAGGUCUAGAUUAGUUUCUUCAUUAGCAUAUGCAAGGUUGUUGUGAAUAUGAUUAUAUGUGCUAGUGUCAGUAAUUGGAGGCAAAUGGUGACGUAUGCCUCUGAAUACUUUGCAAAGCCAAGGCAUAUUUGCUAGGGAUGAUAAAUGAGAUGAAAUAACCUAUCUAGUGUAAAUAUAAACUUAAAGCAAGAAGUAAAAAAAGAAAGUCAAAGCACUUAUCUUAAAAUUUUCAGAGAUUCUAAGUAAAAGCCUGAACUCACAUUCUUACACUGGAAAAAAAAAAAAAAAGACUAUACAAUGAGAGCACAAUCUGUACACACCUUAAUCUGUAAACAAAAGCAACCAAUAAAACCUUGGUGAGCAGCCGUGAGACGUGGGUGGAGUUUGCAAGUUAGAGAACUUACCUUGAGCUUGUUCUCUCUUGCAAAAGGACAGGGCUAAUGGUUUUGGCCGUGAAGGCUAGCUCUGCCAUUGGAUAGCAUCCACAAACCCAAAUGAAGACGUCUCAAAUUUUCACAGCACACAAAAAUCCAGAUUGUUGGGGUUGGGGGCCAAAUUAGUGGCUGCCGGCCUGACGCUGAACACAGACCUCUACAGGAAAAAGCACAAUUGCUGCAAUUGCCACUGAUCCAAGCAAGUGUUAGCUCAAUUGCGGCAGGGCAUCUAGGGCGAGCUAAAAAGAACGGGCACAGGGGCAGGACACCACUGGUGACACAUGUCACAUGCCUAUCUUGCCUCGCUUGGAGCCAAUGACCACCGGAGCUGUGGUGGCUCUCUCGCACUUACUGCACUUUUAAAAGCCUGAAACGCAGCUCCAAGGAAGUAUGUGUAUGUCGUUCUGCUGUCCAGAAUGGUGCCCUACUUGCCAUCAAAAACUUCGGGCUUUAAGCGCAACAAAUUCCUUUGAGCAUCAAGUUGUAUUAAGGACUGGAAAAAAAGACAAAGCUCCACACCAGCACCCAACCUUAGCACUAACAGCAGCUCUGCGGAGAACAGCACCGAAUUGUUCUCUAAGUUCGCAAGAUCAGUGUCGCAAGGCUCCUCCUAGGACGGGUUUCUCAGUGCUGGCCUCUUUAGCAGACUUAACAGGAGUGGUGGCGAGAGUGCCACCACCACCACCACCACCACUUAGACAUAGUCUCUUUGUCAUUGUUGUGGAGAAGAAAAAAACUAGGAUGAUAGGAAAACUAAUGCUUUGCUACUGUUGUUUAUAGCUUUCAACUCUAACAAAGUCAUAAAGAAUGAACGAAUACCUACGAUGGGGAUCAGACGACGUAAAAACCAUGUCUUUUGGAGGCUGAAAACCACUGAGUGUCAUCGCACCACCCCUCUUGUCCAUCCCUCCACUGCUGCCACUAGGUGGACCACUGGGCCAUUUACUCGCUCUCCUCUAGAGCUACGCCCUUUCCCUAAAGCAGCAGUGGAGAUCCUCCAUGCCAGGAGUGACGGUGGCAAGACUGUAGCUCCGGAUCUGCUGCUGGUGCCUGUUCCUGCGGGGAUUGCUGUGGCGAUUGAGCAGGAGAUCUCUGAGUGGAAGAUCUCUGCCUAGGAGAUCCGGGAGCCACAGCUUCACUGACCAUUUACUCGAGUGCAUCGCUCUCUUGCCCUUUCCCUAAAGCAGUGGCGCUCCACAUCGAGAGUGACGGGGCGAUUUGUGCAGGAAAGACACAUGUCGCUGUGCCUUCUUCUCCCGCCCCACGCAGCUUGGCCGACUCCCAUUGGCAGAGAGCAAAUAUCAGAAAAAUUUCUUGCGCAACCAUGGCUACUGACCCUGGCCCGGGCCUGGGAUCCAACGGUCGGGGAGCCUCCCUGCUAUCACUAGAUUAUCUAUCACAAUAAGGAGGAGUUGCUGAAAUUUCUGGGCUGCCAAAUCCAGCCAAUCGCAGCCGUCCGAUGGGGGGUAACUGUAAAGGGGUUAUUUCUUUAACCACAUUUUAGUGAAUAAUCGCGCUGAUGUUUGCUCUUGGCCAAUGGGAGGCAGCCAAGCCAUGUGGGGCAGGAGAGGAAGGCGCAGCGACCCGUGUCAUAUGCAUGUGUUCUGUAACAGAUCUUGCUGGAAUUCCAGCCCUCCUGCUAGAGCUCGCAGAGAAAAUCCAGUGCCGAUCAAUGCAACCCGGGAUUGUGGGCGAUGCCAGUGAUCACUGCUGUCCAGGAGACUAGAUUUGGAUCCAGCAUGGCGCGGAAGAUCGCGAUCGCGGGGCUAAGAUGGCCGAAUUGGAUGUAGCUCGUGAGGAUGGUAUUCCAGGACACUGCGUUGCUCUCACUCGCCAUGGAGAGGAGGAUCUUUGCCUUGGGCAAAUGCCCAAAAUCCCAAUCAUUGAUGUGUAUGUCCAGAUUGUGGAUGUUCAGAGGUGUGGUGGAUCUUCUCCCAAAUCGCAGUGAAACCGAUCUUAGCGAUGGCCGAUGGGGAUAUGUUGAGUUCACAUCUCUCGAAGCUUUCCACAAGGCAAACCGGUGGCUAAACCAGAGGGGAAAAACUGAGAAGAAGAUCCGCAGCUUGGAAGAGGAAAAGCGCGAGGAAACAGAAGAGGAGAAGCACGAGGAAAAGUCUUGGAGUGUUAGCGCGCUCCGGAUUCUGAUCAGACUCACCGAGCAGCUUUACGAGGAGCUCAACGGCAAAUCCAGCGACCGAGAGAGGAUCAAGCGAGCGCGGAAGAUAAUGUGGCUCCAGAAAAUGCUGUAUAGGAUCUCGAGUGAGAGGAAACCGUGGAAGGAGCUUCAGUCCGGCGAGGUGGUCUUCGUGAAGGAGGCAAAAGAACUAUAUGAUCGUGCAGGGAGAGAUUUUGUUGCCGAAUUCAAGAGGAGACAGGUAAGUUUGAUAUACCUUCCAGAUUCCAGAUGGCUGUUAGCUAAUAAUGUGUUUGUUGUAGAGAGCUGGAGUGAACGAUGAGUGUUUGUUUUGUCGGAACCAUGAUGGCAAGAAGAUGAUCGGCCGGGCUGGAGCGAACUCUAAGACGACUAGACCCUAGGUUUACCUGAGAAGAGAACACGAGAAAACUGUUCUAAGCACGUCGAAGAAACGAGAAAUGAAGCUGGCUCCUAGCUCGAGAAGUUGGCUGCAAGGAUUGGUCAACUGGAGGCCAGUGCUCGGACUCUAACAUCGGAGAAGCCAACUCUCAAGAGUCAAAUCCAGAAGUUGGAUCCGGUAAGGCUGUCCAUGAUAGUAGUGAGGAACGACGUAAACCAGUGCCAGAUGGCUGCAAGAUGGCGAGAAGACAAUAUAGCUGAAGCUGCUUGUGACUGGGGUUUCAGAUGGCUGCGGAGACUAUAAGACAGACUAUGCUAGACGUUCUCUCUCAUCUGGUGGAAUGAGGGAAGUGUUCGGACAGGAGCCCCAGGGGAUAAUGGCUGAUGGAGUCGUGUUGAGAGUGGCCCUGUGCCACGUGGCUAGUCCACGUGGAGAGACACGAGUCUUCACCGGUUCACCAUGUCACACAUAUGUACAUUUUCCAUUCCAUAUAUGCUAUGACAGAUCUUGAGCACCAUCACACGGUUUCACCUUUCAUUAGAUGGUAUUGGAGCAAUGCCUGGGAGAGCAAGAAGAAUUCGAAACCGUAGGAUCAGGGCGACACUUGCUAGGGUGAAUCGGAGCCUCGACAGAGGCGUGCCCUAAUCCAAACGCUCCAGGCCUUGCAAGAGGCACUGGACGACUAAGAACCUGGACCUAGACUUGAACGAGUGGUGGGAUUGGGUGUCAGCACCCAUGGCAGCCACUGUUCCUACAAAUCCGCCUCCAAAUCCACCACCUAUUUCCCCUCCCAUCACAAAUCCGACUGUGCCUACAGCGGAUAUCGUUUCAGUGGACGCAAAUCCACCAAAAUUUGAUGGGAGGAACUGGCGCUUCUGGAAGACAAAAUUCGAAUCCUAUAUGGAUGAACGAGGCCUCUGGGACAUCACCACAGGAACUGAGACACUUCCAGAUACAGCUACAGUGGAUGAAACUGCGAAGUAUCGCAAGAAGGACCGGAGAGCUUUGGGCAAAUUCCAUGCAGCGCUGGAGGGGCGAGAAUUCCAUUGCAUUGGACGGUGCAAGAGUGCAAAGGAAGCGUGGGAGGCCAUGAAGCAGACUUACCAGAUCCCUUCAACAUCCCAUCGCAUAUUUUUACGGAAGCAGCUUCAUGCAUUGGUGAUGGCUGAAGGGGAUGACCUCAAGGAUCAUCUUGCUGGUGUGAGAACCAUCUUAGAUGAUCUUAAGGAUGUGGGAGCAAACAUAGAGGAUGAAGAAGAAGCAGAGCUGGUGCUCGUCACACUUCCUCCAUCCUUUGAUCCUCUCAUACGUAGCCUCACUACCACUGGAACUCCUCUAACCCUGAAUGGCGUGAUCAGUAGCCUCCAGGACGAUGAUCUGAGACGAAGAGCAACAACAGGAUCAGAGGCCGUUGCAUUCUACUCUUCUCUCAGGAAAGAAACAGAGAACAAAGGGAAACAAGGAGCCUCUUCAUCCAAGAAGCCCAAGUGUUCUCAUUGCAACAAGAAAGGCCAUGACGAAGCUCAAUGCUGGGUGAAAAAUCCAUCUCUCAAGCCUGUAAGGAACAAUGCAAAGAAAAAGGUGGUACACGCCUUCAUCUUGUCACGAGCUAUGGCUGUGGCAGCACUGUCUGCAGAGUGCAUCUACCUGGAUUCUGCUGCUACAGACCAUAUGUUCAACAGUGAUAAGUACUUUGAAGCCUAUGUUCCUACAGCCACAGAAGAGUAUGUCAUCGUUGGCAAUGCCCAGCAGCUUGCUGUGAAAGGAGUUGGAACCAUCAAGUUCACUUUACCACAAGGAAUAGUCGUAAAGAUCCACGAGGUUCUUUAUAUUCCUGGUUUAUGUGCUAAUUUGUUCUCUGUGGGACAAUUUGCUGAGGAUGGGUAUCAGUUCGCCAUUACACCUCGCCAAUUCCAGCUGAUCUCGACCACAGGAGCCAUCCUCACAGCGUCCCGGCCUGGACGGCGUGACCUCUACCGCCUUACCAUGCUGCCAGAUCUUGCUGGACGGAGUCUGGGCCUACACGCACAAAAGACAACGACCAGUCACUCACUGGAGCUUUGGCACGCACGCCUGGGGCAUCCUAGUGCUGAUAGAAUCAAGCAGCUCGCACGCGAGCAGAUGGUUGAAGGUCUAGACCUGGACCCAAGAGCCGUUCUUCCAUUUUGCCAGGGCUGUCAGCUAGGAAAAUCUACUCGCCAACCUUUCCCCAAGACUGGAGCAUCUCGAGCUACAGAGCUCAUGGAACUUGUACACACUGAUGUGUGUGGCCCGAUGGCCACCACAGCAGUGGGAGGUAUCCAAUACUUUAUCAGUUUCAUUGAUGACUACAGUCGUCGCACUAUGAUCUACCCUAUGGCUCGCAAAUCCCAAUCGUUACACUACUUCCAGACUUUCAAGGAUAUGGGAGAAACACAAACUGGGAAAAUGCUCAAGCGAUUGAGAAGUGAUGGUGGAGGCGAAUUCACUUCCAAUGCUUUCAGCUGUGUGAGCAAGGAGGGAUUGUGCGAGAACUUACAACGCAAGAGACUCCACAACAGAAUGGCGUAGCUGAGCGCAAGAAUCGCACACUAGUGGAGAGUGCUCGGGCAAUGCUACUUUCCAGUGGUUUGCCUCGCAGCUUCUGGUUUCACGCUGUCUUGACGGCGAACUAUCUCCAGAACCGGCUCCCCACUGACAUCACUCCAUGGAGUGACCUACAGUUACGCAUCUGAGAAUAUUCGGGUGUGAAGCGUGGGCACACAUCCCUGAUGGAAUGCGCAAGAAAUUGGAUCCCAAGAGCCAGAAGGCUGUGUUUGUGGGCUACAGCCUCGAUCACAAAGCCUAUCGUCUCUGGAAUCCAAUCACGAAGCAGGAGAUCCUGAGCAGAGAUGUGGUUUUCAACGAGAAUUCCUUUCUUCCUUCUAGUCAAGGUUCUACUUCCAGACCUACCUUGACCGAAGAAAAUGACGUUGAAGCGGAACAAGAUCAGUUGACUGUCGGCACGAUCACUGUGCCGCUUCAAACAGUCCCUACACAACAACCCAUGCCCACUUCUACUCCAACACCACCAACCCCGCCGCCUCCUCCAGAUCCUCUACGCAGAUCGAUCCGCACAAGGCGGCCUACUGAGCAUCUCAUCGAGACAAUGGUCUCCUCUCGUGCAGCUGGGACUCCUACUGUUCCGAGGACCUAUGGAGAAGCCAUGGCCUCACAGGAAGCGUCUUACUGGCGUGUAGCAAUGGAAGCCGAGAUUGCUUCACAGAAAAAGAACGAGACACAUGUUCUUGUUCCAACUGUGCCUUCCAAUCGCCAGAUUAUCAAGAGCAUGUGGGUGUAUGCUCUGAAGCUUAAUCCUGAUGGCUCGGUUCGCUACAAGGCGCGAUUGGUGGCGAAAGGAUGCUCGCAAGUUCCUGGACUUGACUACAACGACACCUUUGCUCCAGUGGUUAAGCAUUCUACUCUUCGUUCCUUGAUUAAUUUUGCUGCGGUGGGAGACUUUGAUCUGGAACAGAUGGAUGUGACCACGGCGUUUCUUUAUGGCGCGCUUGAAGAAGAAAUCUAUAUGGCACAGCCAGAAGGAUUUCUAGCCGCUGGAAAAGAGGAUCAUCUCUGGCUUCUCAAGAAAGCUGUCUACGGCUUGAAACAAGCACCCAGAUCUUGGUACAAACGCUUUGACGAUUUUGGGCUUUUCCCGUAGCGAGGCAGCCCGAAUCUUUAUACUCGGGUGGAGGGUGAAUCAUUUGUGAUCAUCGCUCUUUAUGUUGAUGAUACUCUUGUCAUCCAUAAUCAUCGCUUAAUGUUUCUCCAGGUUAAGUGAGAUCUUUGCAGCCAAUUUGAGAUGAAAACUCUUGGCUCAGCUUCCUACUUUCUUGGCAUGGAACUUGUGCGUGAUCGCUCUCAACGCACUAUCUAUCUUCACCAAGCCAAGUAUAUAGAAGAGAUGCUGGCCAGGUUUUCUAUGACGAGCUCUAAUCCAGUGGCAACACCAAUGGAACUAGGCUGCCAGCUUUCACGAGCCAUGUCUCCUGAGACAGAGGACGACAAGAGAGCCAUGGACUCCAUCCCUUACAGACAAGCUGUUGGCAGUCUCAUGUAUCCAGCUGUUUGUACGCGCCCAGAUAUUUCUUUUGCCGUGAGCAAAGUUAGCCAAUUCCUGGCUAAUCCUGGAUCUCAACAUUGGGCAGCGGUGAAACACAUCUUCAGGUACCUUCGAGGUACUACUUACCUUGGAUUGUGCUACCAGGGAAAAGCGCUUCACGGGCUACUGUGAUGCUGAUUUUGGGGGAGACUGUGACACACGCAAGUCCACCUCUGGCUAUUCGUUUUCCCUGGGCAGUGCGACAGUCUCGUGGUGCAGCAGGAAGCAAAGUACAGUGGCAACCUCUAGUACUGAAGCAGAAUAUUUGGCAGCCUCACAAGCUACCAAAGAAGGUGUGUGGUUACGCUCACUACUUUCUAACCUUGGUGUGAGUGUGAAGACUCCCACUCGCCUCUUCUGUGACAAUCAAAGCUGCAUUGCGUUAGCGGCCAAUCCUCGCUUUCAUUCACGCACCAAACACUUUGGGAUUCAUCAUCAUUUUGUUUGUGAGAAAGUGGAAGAUGGCACAAUUGAGCUGAUCUACUGCGACACGACCACUCAGGUUGCAGAUAUCUUCACAAAAGCACUACCCCGAGAUCGAUUUCAAGUCCAUCGCGAAGGGCUGGGACUUUCUCCACUGAUGAGCAUCAUUCGUGAUGGCCACAGUGCCAGUGGGAGUGUUGAGAGUGGCCCUGUGCCACGUGGCUAGUCUACGUGGAGAGACACGAGUCUUCACCGGUUCACCAUGUCACACAUAUGUACAUUUUCCAUUCCAUAUAUGCUAUGACGGAUCUUGAGCACCAUCACACGGUUUCACCUUUCGUUAGAGGAGUCGAAUCUGCUGCACGAGGUGGAGCUCUCGGCCAGGAGCACAUCGAGAAGAGGAUGGCAGAGUUUGGAAGCGAAAGGCAAGCCUGGAGAAGCAAGUAACUGGCAGCUGAUGGAGAGGAUCACGGGGCUCUAGGCACUCGAGGAGAGAGAGACGUGCCUGAUGCAAAGGAAAGCUUUGGGAGACUGAACAAGGAGCUUGCUUGAUGUUUUUUUUUUUUUUCUUCUCUAGAUUGGAGCUCACUCGAUGCAUUGCAGAUCCUUCAUGCUUGCAAGCUUGUAACAAUCGACCUGAAGAGACCAAGUGCCAGGUAAGUCUCGAGAUUUUGUGUAAAACUUCUUUUGGAUCAAUUAAUUGUUGUGAUUCGUGAAUACUUUCAAAUAAAAUGCAAAGACAUUUUUGAGAACAAGGUGGGAAUUUAACGAUUGUGCAGUGAGCCGCAAGACAAGGUAUUUCCCAGUCCCACCACCCUGGGGCUCUUGGGUGGUGGGAAUACUAAGAUAAUGUAGACAGUAAUUGAUUAAGUAGUAAUAUUUUAAAAUCUUUAUUCUAACAGUAAAUAUAGUUUAUUAGUACAUAAUACUAUGUAAUUACAGUUUCUAUAGUAUAUAUAUUUACAAAAGAUUUUUUUAGUAAUUAUUUUCUUGACUGGAUCUGAGUAAUGUUCCUAAAAACUUAAUGUUUUAUAUUUUAGGUAAACCACAUAAUUAAGUAAUGUCUUGCUAAUAAAAAUGAGUAAUAAUUAUUCUUAGUAAUUAUUCUCUUAAUAUAAGCUUAUCCCAAAUAAAAAUAUAACUUACAUAUAACAUAUUAUUAAUAAUAGAAAUUUUUUUUUUCUGGGUCUAAAUAUAUUCAUAUUUCCAAAUAAUAAUUGUAUCUAAUAUUUUUAUUAGUAUUUCGCGUUGCCAUCAUGCCGGUUUGUGAUCGCACUGAAGUUCUGGGGUAAUGGCCUGGAUCACAUGGUAACGGAACCUCGCUCUAAGCCUAUGGCUAGAGCACCUAAAGGCAAAAGGCGGGGAAAGUACCCAUGAGGCUUCUGUUUCGGAUGUUUUAGCUAUGAACUGGUUUCUCAACAGACUUCAGUUUGAGAUGCAGACUCCGGUACAGCUAGAGGCACCCACCAUGAAUAUUUAUUCUUACUUUUCUCUGGGAAUAUAUUUUGUUCUAAAUAUUUAUAAUAUCAAGUUUACAAGAAUUGACUUUUGUGUUCACCUAACAUUUGCUGGGCAUAAUUCCCUCAAUUCUUCUUUCAAAGUAGAAUACAAUAUUUAUUUUUUGAUAUUAUUCUACUUUUAAUUUUUAAUAUAACAAAAUUAUAACAAUCAAAACAAUAUUUUGCUAAUAGGACAGCACAUGCUGGGCAAGUGCUAGUAGUUUAUAUUUAGUUAUAUAUAUAUAUAUAUAUAUAUAUAUAUAUAUAUAAUAAUUAUGUUUUCAUAAAAUCCUUAAACUUGACACAAUAACCGUGUACCAGAAUAUUCUUUGUAUGGAAAAGAAUAUUAUGUACCAAUUAGAAUUCCCCCUCAGUGGAAUGUAACAAAACAUAGAGUUGACUAUUUUCAUAGAAUAUGUUUUUUGCAAACAUUUUGUUAAUUAUAUGUUAAAUAUUAACCCACUUCGCUUAACUUCACCGACAAUGUCUCCCUUUACUCUGCUUCUGCUUCAAUUGAUUCAUUCCCAGUUGCAAGAGUUCCAAUGAGGUUAUCUCUUUAUCCCGCUGCUGCAUUUACAUUAGCGUUGGAUCUCCUCGCGUUCGGCCUUUCAGUUGGUUCUUCGUCCACAAGGUAUCAUGUAAGCCGCCUUCACUUCGCCCUUGAAUUCACGUUUUCUGGCUGUAGGAAACCAUUCAAGACGAGAUUUCAUCUGAUCACACCAGAAUCAGAUGCAUCCCCAAGAGAGGAGGGGUAGCAAGCGGCUUAGCUAUCGGAGCUGCCGUGUGUUUGCCUCUCGGCUAAAUCACCGCCACAGCCGCCACAAAAUGCACUUGCUGUUCUUCGUCGCUUCAUCGACGCGGAUGCAAGAUCGCUGCAAUUAUCCUCCUCACUCUUUCCUGGUAUUUUCAGCAAGAAAGAAAAAUUCAUUUAUUUAAAAGAUCAACUUUUGUGGUAAUGGCAGGAUCUCUUUCGUGAUCGCUGAGCUCUUCUUGAACACGGCGGCCAGCCUCAGCAGUUACCAAGUGGAAAGGUUUGAAGAAUCUGGUUGCAGCACUGUUCUGCAAGGCGUGAGUGUUGUCGGUGCUGCUUUUACACUCGUCACUUUGCUGCUCAGCAUUGCCUACUUGUCCGUCUACAUGAGCGGCAUGAAGAAACAGAAGAAGAAGACGAGCACCGACGAAACAAGCCGGAUUGUUGAUAUGGAAGUCGCAAAACCAGUUUAGAUAGAAGCUGUAGGCUAGCGCUGUAUAAGAUCGAUGAUUCAGUUGACAGAGAUGUGCGUUUCUAGCACCACCAUCAGCCCAGCUCUGUACGUCUCGCUGCUGAAAUCCUGCGCUCUUACCAGAGACUUAGCCAGAGGGAAACAACUUCACAGAGAGAUCCAUGCGUCCUGGCAAACAAACAACACAGUCCUCUGCAAUCUGCUCGUUCAGAUGUACGGGAAAUGCGGGAGUUUGCCUGAUGCUCGCGACGUGUUUGAUAGUGUUAACCAGCCUAAUGCGUUCACUUGGAACAUCAUGAUCCGUGCAUAUACAGAGAAUGGUCAGUUGCUGCAAGCGAGGAUUUUGUUCGGCAACAUGCCUAUCAAGAAUGUGGUUUCCUGGACGACAAUGCUGGAAGCCUACAGAAGAACUGGUGGUCUUGAAGAGGCUGAGGAUCUGUUGGAAUGUGAUGAUAUCUGGUUACGCUCACACGAAGCGUUUUUGCGAGGCCGAGGCAUUGUUCGAAGAGAUGCCGAGGAGAGAUCUGGUUUCGUGGUCGCUGAUGAUCUCCGCGUAUGCUCAAAAUGGCGACACCGCUCGAGCAAAGGCUUUGUUUGACGGAAUGCCUCAGCAGAAUCUCAUCGCCAGGAACACGAUCGUAGCUGCGUACGCUUCGGAGGGCGAUUUGGGACUUGCGAGGAUGGUGUUUGAUGCGAUGCCGGAGAAGAAAGACGACGAUCGUUAGAGAGUAUGCGCAAAACGGUCAUUUACGUGAGGCAAGGGUGUUGUUUGAAAAGAUGCCUGAGAGUCGUGACCUGGAACUCAAUGGUCACAGCCUAUGCUCAGAACGGACUGGUUGAUCAAGCUGUGGAUGUCUUGAAUCAGAUGCCUUGCAGAGAUGUGGUUUCCUGCAACGUUACGAUUGCGGCAUAUUCGCACAACGGGCAUAAUCAGCAGGCCAUCGCGUUGUUUCGAAAGAUGGAUCUUGAAGGCUUGCAACCCAACGAGAUCACCUUCAUUACGGUCUCCAACGCCUAUGCAACGGUCUCGUUGUAGGAAUAAUGAUGAACACGACAAGCAGUCCGAAUCGUGAUCAGAUCUCUGGUGAUUUCCGAUUUGAUUGAAGUUGUAUAUAUAUACAGCCAUAUAUGAAUCAAGGCGUGUGUUGAAGUGAAAUUCGUUGUUCUUGCUCCGCUUUUCUUUCUUGGUAUCGGAGCUUAGUUUCUGAACUCUUUCUUCUCCUUUCUUUGUGCCUCACAUCAUGAGCUGCAGCAAAGUUGGAUUGAUCAUUCAUUCAUUCAUUCAUCACAUAAACACUAGAGCGUAAUAGCUAUAUGCUAAUGGUUAUGUUAGCGUUUUCUUCAGGUGUCAUUCAUCCAUCAAUCACAAAGAUUUGAGUUUUGUUUGUUGUUAAAAUUUAAAUUUAUAAUCUUACAUAUACUGCAGUCAUGACUUCCACAAUUCAUGCUGCAAUCAACAGGACCUCCAGGCACUUCAUGGCACACUGAAAGAGGACAUACCCACAACCAAAUUAUGGACAUCCCUCUAUCAUGUAAGCAUUUGUUAAAUUUUGAUUUUGUGCGGAUAGAUCCAACGAGCUUGCCUUGAAUUACGUUUGAAUUGAAACUGAUCGCAGGGACAUCAAAACUACUUGGACAGCAAUCAGCUUGACGACGAUGGAAGGGUGAGAACUCCGAGCGUUCUGCGAGAUCACCGAACUGGAGUACAUUCUCGAAGUGUCGGGCCGGCUCACUCUCGAGUUUAUGGACGUGUACAGGAUUCGCGGCAGCAGCUUCAGCAUUGACUUGCUGGAGCUGACAGACUUCGCAGACUAUAUAGUGACUACGAGAUCAUUCACGAGCACACCUUUUGUCCCGAGUUGGGAGGAUCUUUUUAUACCAUUCUUUCUAGAGCUCCCAUGAUACUCCCUCGGAGCCAAACAAAUAAAGGAAUUAAAGGUACCUCUUUGGAAAAGUGGCGAUUCUACGUAACACCAAGAAAAAAUCACGGGUGCAGCGGAUCGGAGCUCUUGCUCUCCAGAGGUUCUCGUUUUCAAGUCGAGGGUUGACCACUGCUGGGUUUUAGUUUUUGCUCCGCUUUCUCCACUUUGCAGGGCUUGGACAGGCCAAAUAAAGGAAUAGAGAAGAAAGAAACUCACUGUGAAUCCAAGAUAUCACAGCUGUUCCUCCUUCGUGUUUUAUGCGCGUGAGCUCCUCUUCGAUCUGGAAGCCGACGGCGAUCACCCUAGCACCAGAAAUCCCCCGCCAAGAACAAGAGGACGAAAUCCUGUCCUGGUCCUGGAUCGAUCCGCUGCUCCUACUCUAGCCACAAAACCUCGCGGAGCCACUACGCCGGCGCCAAGAUCCACAGCUCCUCGCGAAAUCACCACGACAAGAUCAAGAUUCCCGAGAAUGCGCCCGCGGAGGAAGAUAUCCAGCGCCUCCGGCCCACUGCCGCUGGGAAGAAUCCACGCCCGUGGCACAAGAGCAGCAUCGAUUCCUGCCGCCAAUCCGGCUCCCUGGCUGCCAUCUCUGUUGGAGCUCCGGAGACGCCGUCGCGCCGCGCCACCGCGCGAGGAAAGGUAAGACGGUGGAAGCCGAAUCGGAGCCAUGGAAAUCGAGGAGCAAGCCGCCGCGGCCAGAGCCAGUGCUGGAGCCGGCAGUGCCGACAACAAAGAAGAGCUCUUCUCCAGGGCGAGGCCUCCACAGGAGACACAGAUUGACGGCGACGAGGAUGUCAUGCGCGAUGAUCUUGCAGAGGUGCCCAAGCCCGUGGAUGACACAAGUCAGCGCAGCCAGGGGGUCCCCAGCCAGGCAGCCUCGCCGCCGCCUCCAAAUCGAGUGGAACCAUCGGGGACCGCUUCUCCCGACGUGGAUUGGCCUCGCGCUUCUCCUCUGUCGCUGUUCUCCGCCAGAAGAUGGAUCACGUCGCUUGGAAGGGGAGCGGGAGGCUUUAAAGGUCCAAGCUAUACGAGCUUGUACCAAGGCAGCACAGAAAAUCCUGGCAGGACCUCUCUCGCAGAUCUUGCUCCCGGAUUGCAGCAAAUUUCGGAGCAGGGCUGCCCGAGCUGACGUCCCUUUCUCUCGCGAGCGUGAACCGACGAAUUACCGAGCGAGCUCAUGGUGGCCAUGGGGCCGAAACUAGAGGAGCUCAGUAUCUCGAAUUGCAGGUAACCAACCGUCUGUGGUGCUUUGGCUUCUUACUGAGAUCCGCUGGACUUUUUUUGUGCAGCGUUACGGUGGCGGCUGUUGCAGCUUGCGGUUCUACUCUGAAAAGCUUUGCACUUCGAAGGCUUGGAGCUUACAGACGUCACGUUACAGCACUAGGACCUCAGGUGAAUCUUUACUGCCUUUCUUCUCAUCUGCUACUUACACAAGCUUUGUUUUCUUCUCAGUGACGAGGUAGUGGCGGACUUCGUCACGGCCGCUGGAAGCUCGCUGCGCAACCUGUCCAUCGCAAGCGUGAAAGCGUUCGUUCUUUGUCAGGCCCUUUUGCCGCAGAGCGACCGAGGACGGGUUUGGAUUCCUUGUCCCAAUCUCGUGGAGCUCAGACUCUUUCUUGCUCGUCUUUAAAAACUCAAAUAAACAAAAAAACGCGAUUCUUUAAACAAUUUUUAAGAAAAUUGUCCGAGUGUAACGGGCGACUUUAGGUUUAACACAUUUUAGGGUUUGGCGGCUAUGGCGGCUGAAGCGGUGAGGGAGCUGAAGAAAUCGCUCAACGACGACGAGGGUUUCUUUGAUAGGCACGAAGAGAUGACUGAUCUGCUCACACAUAUUGAGGGAGACAACCGCAUCGCUGUAGUGCUGGGCCCCAACGAUUCAGGCAAGUCCGCUCUGCUCAAGCAGCUCAGGAAGAUGUGGGAUACCAGCCCUUUGCUGAAAGCCCAGUUGCCGCUCUUCUACAUGGACAUGAGGGCUGCGGACUUCAGUUCCCCAUAGCAGGCACAGAUUGCAAGACAGAUGCGAACUUCGGCUUUUUGGCUCAUAGAUGUGGCAGCUCAAAGUGCCCUGCAACUGGCUUCCAUUGCUUAAUGUCUAUGUGACUUUAGAACCACUGCCGGAAAAGGUUGUCGAAGGUGUACAUAAUCACCACAACAGCCCGGUUUUGUUUGGUCAUGGCUAUGAAACAUCCCAGGAGGGCUAUGAAACAUCUUAGGAAGGUGCCUAUAUCCUGGUCCGACCAGGUCCUGGGAUGUUUCAUAGCCAUGACUAAGCAGGACCAGACUGUUGUGGUUAUGUCCACUUCUGAUGACAUUUUUUUGGCAGUGGUUUCAAAGUUACAUAGACGUUGAGCAGUGAAAGCCAGUUGUUGUGGGGCACGUUAGUGAAAAGAACGCCAAGGCAUUCCUGUCAAGCCUCGUUGCCAAGUGCAUAGCAGUAGGUGCCACAGCUCCUGACUCAUAGUCGGAGCAGAAGGUGUAUGAGAUCUGUGGCAGUUACCCUUUAACACUUGAGAACUGUGUGAUCAAUGUGUUCGAGCAGGGAAGCAGCAUGGAGGUGGUUCUUGAAGAUAUGGUGGUGGCACAGCUGCCCAUGAUUCUCCUGGGACUGGAGCAUGGUCACGGCUGGGAAGAGGCUAAGUUCAGGGAGGUGAUGAAGCUCAUUGUGGCGCAUGGUGCAGUUGGGCUGUCGAAGAUUUGCCGCCGUAUCUUUAAGUCGGACAUCUCGGAGUGCCAGCAGCAGAUCAAAGCAAUGCUCUCCUUCAAUGUGAUACAUGUUCAUUACAUGCUGCCGGGACUGGUUUAUGAUGAUCUUCGAGACUUUGACAUGGGGCCUGCCAUGAACUGUGAUUUCGUCAUGGCAAGGUCGCCUACCCACCAUGUGGCUAUGAAAAUGUUUUGUGAUGGUGCGUUUGACAAACCGGACGAAUAGAAACUUAGAAAUGUGAAUAUCAUAUUAGUCCCUAACAAAGAGAAACUUUUGCAAACGAUUUCAACUUUUGCUUUCCAUCCUGCAAGGAUCCCCGUGAAUGUGCAUCCACAGCAACAGCGCAUGCCUUUCCGUCACAGCCUUGAGUUCCUUCUUGAAAGAAUGCUUGAAGAAGACGAAGGCGGGCAUUUUGAUCCGGACUUGCGUGACCAGCGCUUCCAGCAGUCGUCUUCUGUCACCAAAGCUGAGCCUACCGAAACAGUACCAGACCUGCUUUCUGAUCUUCUCGAGCUGCGCUCGUCGCCAUCGCUGUUCUCCGCCAUCAAACCCCACGAUGUGCUGUCUGGACUGAUUGGCAAACGCUGCUUCUGCUCGGUGAUGAACGAUUCCGCUUCCAGUAAGAGAACGCUGCUCCUGGCGGCUUCAAAUCUCCCGGGAUAGCAGUAGUCGUCCCUGUCCCUUCCGUGGAGGAAAAACGCUAGAGAUCCGUCAGGAAGGCCGAUGAUCUCAAACACCGGACCCCAGAGCAACCCGCAAUCCAUUCCUCGAGGGGUGGUAUGAUUCGGCAGCCCACCACCGAAAGAAAUCCCCAAGUAACAUAGAUUAAGUUCCCCAGCUCCGGAUUCUGAUGCACCCAAAUACCCACCAGAUUCCUCACCCGUUGAUGAAUCUGAACAGCGCCUUCUGCGACUGCAUCCCAUGCCUCUAAGUGCUCAAGUCGAUGUAGUCCUCCGCUUCUUCUUCUCUAACCAGCCUUUGGCACUGCGGGAACCAGAGCUUAUCAGAGCUGCAGACGUCUCGAAGCUUGCAAGAAGUGUGACAGACGCGGCUGGAUGUCAACCCGAACAUAUCGUCCAGAAGAUCAGUCAACAAGCCGUCGUGAUCUCCCAUCGAGGAAAAAAACAAGCUCCUCGAUCACGCAUCAAAGGUAACAUUAUCAGAGGUAACAGCAGCGGCAGAAGCAGAAUCCAUAUCUACAAAACGCACACAGUAGUCAGCAGCUGAGCUUGAGAAUCGGCAUAAAGAAAAGAAAAACAAGAACAAAACCAUCUGUGUGUCGAUUUCCUUCCUCAGUUUUUGCAGGACCUACCUAGGGAGUAGUCGCAGCUCGGCAGGCGAGGAUGCAAGAGAAACCCGCCAGGCAUUAAACAUGAUUCGACGAGAAAUUCCAAAGUUGACUACACUACAAACAUUGAAUAGCAGUUGUUUAAUCGCCCUAUUUGCAACUGCUGCUUCAGAAAACACACCUGGCGGUGGAACGCAAAGGUCUGGAUUGCAUUCCAAAAACUCCGCUCUGAGAGGGGCAGAGAAAUGAAUCGGAUCAGAUCAAGGAGAAGAAGAAGAGAAGAUCAACUCAAUCACCUACGUGCCGUGAAGCGCUUCGAUGCUGCUGGAAUAGAGCCCUAGACAAAACCACCAAACACUAGCGACGACGAGCUAGAGAAGAGCUCCUGUUGCUGAUGAAAAAGAAAAUGUUUUCAAGUCUGUCCGCUUGGCCUAAGCACCAAAAAAAACAAAGCAAAAAAAGAAAACAAAACGAUCAUCAAAACGACCCACCACAUCAAACAGGACCAAAUGCAAUUGCUGAGGGAGGCGAAGACGACUCGGGCGGAGGCAGGAGUAAAUGGGGGAGCUUAGUGCUCUAUACUGCAGCUGUUAAGCUUCAGGCAAUUAAAAUCAAAGAUUCCGUGGCUCCCACGAAACGAGAAGCAAAGUCAUGAGCAGCACAAAAGAGCACGUAGAUACAGACGAAAACAAAGAAAAAAAGAAACCAUCGUUUUAGAUGAUACGAUCAGCACUUGUCAAGUCUCACUCAGACGAGCAGACAAAAACUUCACGGAAUCAGAGGGGAAUGAUUUCGCAUGAGAAUCAGGCAGGCUGCAUGCACGAGAGAGAAGUGUAUGAUCAAGAAACAAGAAAAAGUGGGAAAGGAAAGUACCUCGAGUCGGAAAUCUCCCUCACAAGCAGCCGAACAUUUUGCGAACUCAUUUCAGCUUGCUGCAAGCAGAAAUGAAUUCGAAGGUUUGCCGUGAACGUCUUUGACACUCCAACGAGCUCAGCUCCCUCACAAGCAGCGCAACGAUUUGCGACUACGAGUGCCAUGAACGUCUUUGACACACUGCGUUGUUGAAUUCGAAGGAGGCAGCACAGCGAAUCUGUUUCAGCUAUGAGACACACUGUUAACAUCAAGACGGCUCAACCGUUUCAGGACAAAAAUCAUUCAUACCUCUGUGCAUUCAAAGCAUCAACGAGUCAUGUUGAAAACCAUUGCCCGAAUUGACACUCCAACCUCACUCAGUGCCGACAUUCCUUGAGCAGAGCGAAAAGCUCAUCCGUAGUCUGUUUAAAUGCGUGAUCUUCAGCCGCGGGACCUCGGAAAUCUGGAAUCUGGUACCAGAAAGGUCAGUAGCAGAUCACCAGCAAAUGUACAGUUCCUACACUCUGAGCUUGGCGCUUGAGCAACGGUGGUAGGAUAUCGAGUUCUGGAAUGAAUCUGCAAAGCCAAAACCUUCUGAAGCUGAAAACAGACUAAAGGCAGAAACAGAAAUAUCUCACGAUUCGGCCAGACCUGCAGUGCAAACGUCCCUCUCUUUUCUUCCUCUUACGACCCUUUGUAAGCCAUGCAGGAAAUCUGAGUUUAUCUUCCAUCUGCAAAACACAUAUCGUAGAAUAUCCGAACAAGGUUAUUAAAGCUUACAGCAUCGAACGCUCCCUCCUCCCUUGCAGAACAGAUGAACUGCAGAUCACAUACCAGUACAUACCAGUACAUCAGUUGAGAAGUUGCAUGUCAUACCAGGUCAGAGCCAGAACUGCACAAAGUAAGUUUGUGAGCUCCCAUGUCCGAUACUUGUGCAUGCUUUUGCUGGUCAUGUCUCCAACGUAAAGGUAAUCCGAAGCUUUUGAAAUAGAAUCCAUGAUAAACGCUUCCUUUCAGUUAGCAGGCUUGUAGCUGAUGUAGUUUUCCUGACAGAAACAAGAUAGACAAAAAAAAGGUCGAAAUUGUUGUCUUACCUGAACAAGGAGUGCAACAAACUCGAAAUCUUCAAGUAUGAGAUUGAUGCGAGCUUGAAGAGGUUGGUUCGUCCGAGUGCCUAAUUCAGCGCACAAGCUUAAGAACAACGUGUGGUAGUAGUAGUCGUAAUGCUGUGUUCGGAUUCUUACCUGUCUACGACAGCGAACGAACUCGGCAUACUAUCUUUCGCAUCUAGUUUCCUGUUUACGGGAUUUCCAGCACACAGAUACUGCAGACUUCAGUGAUCAGAAAGAAACACAGAUUGGAAAUACCACCAGGUACGACACCUGCAUCUGAAGCAAACUCUGUCGAACAUUCCGUUGAGCGCUGUCUACAAGCAAUUUCAGAAAUUCCUGAACCAAAGCUUUUGUCAGCAGCUCGUGAAUCGCACCAAGCUACCUUAUCCACAAGCACGUUUUCUUGCUCCUGAACGCCGAAAAGCAAUUUCAAGAUCUGAAGAAUAAACAGCGUUACCAGACGUAUCGUUUGUUUUGGGUUUCUGGAACUUGAGCUCGACACAGUAAUCCGCAAGAUUGCGGAUGCGCUUGUGAUAUCUGUCAUUACAUAUGCAAAUGACUGGAAGUUUGGCCCGUCUUACUAAAUCAGAUCGCCGUGUGGCCACGAAGUAUUGCAACCGGAACACCAUCUGGUAAUCCCCACUAAAGGCAGAAGCGAAAUAAAUCAAAAGAAGAAACAAAAACACAACAAAGGAAUACUUACAACACGGAUGGAGGAAUCGUUAGAAGCUGAUGCAACUAGAGUGUUCGAACUACUUACAGACAAAUCGGUUAUAUCCCCCUAAAAGCCAGGUUUUAAGCACAAUAUUCGAAACGGAUGCAGAAAAUAGUACCCCGUGUCCUCUACAGCUACGAAGGCAAAGUCUAUUUUCUACGGACCAUAUCUUCACAAGCCGGUCGUCCGAGCCAGUGACAAGAUACCGUCCAGUACGAUAAAAAACGGCUGCAUGUUUAUCGCUUCGUUAAUAGGUCUUGAAAAUCAAAAAGAAAAGAAACACGUACCACAAUAUACCGCAUUACGAUGACCCCUUAGCACCUGGAUGAUUCUUAUUCUGUUCACCAGUACAGAUGGCUUGAUGAUAACAUGUUUCACAGUCCGUGUGGAUGGCGGUCUGUGAUGCUUUGCAAAUCCACCACCAAGUUCACGGAACGCGAGAGCAUGAACUUGGUCAGCUUGCCAAUGCGGCCAUCGCAUUUGUUCUAUUCUCUUGGUAGAGAUACUAGUAGCAUUGCUUUGCUCCGCUGUAUGAAGUUUGCUCGGAUCAGCAACGGCAAGAUUCGAAAAGUACACGGCUUACAUUCCAAAAGCGAGAAUGCUCCUGACCCCAAAAGCGUAGGAACGUCAGCGGCAGUCAAUUGCUUGGGAACUUUCGCAUCAAGCAAGGACGCGGACUUGUCGUGAACAAGUAGUUGCUGCAAGAGCUUAACCAAGUGGUUGUUGUCAACGUUCUUAUAUCUGAAAUUCGAAAAAAAAAAUAUCCAUCCUUUUGUCAGCAAGACAAACCAAAAAAACAAAGAACUUAGCGACACACAAUACCUCUCGGCAACUUGCGCGUAGCUGAGUGGGAACGACAAACCAUCGUCAUUCUCGUCGGCGGGGGGCGUUCCAUUCCUGAUGGUACCUCCGGGGCAAGAGCUUGUGCUGUAGGAGCUCGUUCCAGAGCUGGUCAGUGGCUCUCUCAUAAGGGCCUCUCCUCAGGAAGUGCAUGAUAACUUCCCCAACUUGAUCUCCUCGUCUUGUUCAUGCAGGUGAUGAUUAGCUCCAACAUCAGACCGUAAAGCCACCUACGUUAGUCAGUCUGCACGAGAGGUUAGCUAAGCUGCAUGAAGAUUGCACCCGAGUCUACUUGAAGACAGAAAACUUGAAAGCUUCGAUUGAAUGUUCCGUUACCAUACAAAGCAUUUGAACCCAGUGACUAUAUGCAAUAUCCGCAGCUCCAAAGGACCUCCUGAAUAAAUAGUUACACUCAUCCACCUACAAGGAAGUACCAAUUAGACAAUGCCAGGCCACGUUCAUGUCUAUGUUCUUGCCCGGAAAAGGACUUACUAUCAGAAGCUCACAACAUAUGAGCCUUUUUAUUUCGAAGAACGAAGAUCCGAAUCAGAAAAAAAAUUCCUGAGAAAAAAAAAGAACAGCUUUGUCAUUUCUAUGAAUCAACUACUGAUCAUUGAACCAGCAGGAGCGCCACUUACCCACCACUGUGCUCUUUGCACACGACUUGACCAAGCCAUCCAAACCCUGAUCCAGUAUUUUAAAAGCCGCACAACGUAUUUUGGAGGCUGGGUUGUGAUCUCGAUUGCUGAUGUUUCUGCGACUUAACAAAUGCUUACCUGAUAGAGGGAUGUGGAACAGUCGAUCAUGACUUGGUUGUGGGCUGCUAUAAAAUCCUGGAGCAGGAAUGGGAUCCAUUCGUGCAGCAGUGAGGGAGGAUUUGCAAGCGAUCCAUGGUGCAUUGAAGGAGGAUGUGGUUGCCAUGGCUAGAGCAGUGAAUGUUGCGGUUAUGCGUGCUGCAAUCAAGGAGGACCUCCAGGCACUUCAUGACACAGUGAAGGAACCACAGCAACAUCUUCCUUUAUGGCACUAUGGAUUAUUGGCAAAUCCUCCCUCACUGCCGCACGAAUGCCAGAGGCCAUCACCUGGAGAUUCUCAGUCACAGCUCCCAUUCCUGCACGCAUGGCAGAUGCCAGCACCAGCACACAAGCUGUGGUCACGAUGCACAGCACACUGAUCACAAUGGUGCUAACAAGCACCAUCGCAAUCAGAAACUCCAUUGGUAGGGUUUGCAGCAAAACCUUAGUAAAAUCGAGAACGAAAUAAGGUUUGCAACAGCUAUGAAAGACGCAAAUGACACUCUUACCAGAAGUUCGAGCCGCCUGCCCUAUCUUCGCAAGAACCCUAAGCUAACGGUCGCUUUAUCUUACAUACAAUGGGCCACUGGCCACUUUCUUGGUGGGCCGCCAUUCGUACAGUGGUCUGGCGGGAACUCGAGUUCCUUGUGCCACGAUCAGUGGAUUCUCGCGAUUUCUAUCAGUACACGGGCUCGAUGACAAGAGGAGGAGGAAGAGGAGGAGGAAGAGGAGAAGGAUGGCACUCCAUCUCCUCGACUUCUUUCAUCCUCAUGGUUUUCCAUCCUCGGACUGAUCUCGUGUUUGACAAUGUAGAUGGAUGUGUAAGGAAAAUGUUUCUUUUCUUCGUUAACUAAGACCUCGAGAAAAUUCUUACAAAGCUCACAUUUGCAGUGCCUCAGAGAAGCGUUCUCUCAGCCGCUCCACCUUGAGCACCGACGAAUGCUGCUUCCCAAAAUAUGUCCGGAAGUUGUCGAUCAGUAUCCUAAGAUCGUGUGACACCGCCAUCACGCUACGCUACGAUAAUAGUUGUUCUCCAGCCGCUCGCGAAUCACGUCCAUGGAGAUUGGCAGCGCAAUCCUGCAUUGUUUGAAAACCUUUAGCUUCUUUCUCAAUCGCAAGAGAUUUUUCCAACUUGCCUGUCAAGAAAAUCCGGCUUGCUCACGGCCUGCUGCAACCUCCACAAGCCAUACUCGUCCUGUGAAAAGCAAAAGCUCGUCAAGCCAAGACCAAAACCAAAACAUUCCUCGAGUCUAUGAUCGAUCGCACAAAAACAAACCUUGGAUUGGUUCGAGUGGAGCACCUCGUCCACGAUGUCGAGCAGCUCACGCACCUUGUCCUGCUCGAUCUGUGGCGACUCCCAAGUUAAAGGAUUCUCAACGUCGUGAAGCUCCCAGGGGCAGUGGUUCGUCGUCGAUGGCUCGUCCUUGUACAGCACACUGAUGCUGUCCCUGGGGCUGUUUGGAAACUCGGGCGACUUUCCCUUCACCUGAGUUAUCGUCCCUUCCCACCAGCGACCACCUUCUUCCUCGUCCGACCUCCACCACACUUGGCACUUGUCCCGACUGGACCACUUCCUGGCCAUGGAGGCCUCGUAGCGGCUUCUCUCCACUAUAAAGUCGGCGAAGUCUGUCAGCUCCGGCAAGUCGACGCUGAAGCUGCUGCCGCGAAUCCUGUACCCGUCCAUAAACUCAAGAGUCAGCCGGCAACAAGUGUUCCCCGACACUUCGAGAAUGAUGUACUCCAGUCCAGUGAUCUCGCAGAACUCGACCACUUGCAGUUCCCUUUUCACGCUUCUCCAGGGACCAUCGUCGUCGAGCCGCUUGUUGUCUAAGUAGUCUUGAUGUCCCUGCGAUCGACAGUUUCAAUUCAAACAUAAUUCAAGACAAGCUCGUUGGAUCUCUUACCUGUCGGAAGUACACCACCUCAUCACCAUACUGUGGGAUGUAGCGCGUCCGCUCCACCUCUGUCAAGAGUAACCAGGACACGUUGCUCGGACUCCGAUGCACCGUGCUCAGGUUUCUCCUCACGUGGAAAUCCUUGUACCUCGACCCAACGUUCUUCUGCAGCUUCACUUUAAGUCUGCUCGAAGUUCUUCUUUCGGGCUUUCGGCGUCCAUCGUCGUCGCUGCUUCUAUCCCAGUCCGAGUCGUCGUAAGACGAGCUAGCUUCCCAGUGUGAGGGACGGCCGACGUUUCUCCUGCUUCUUGUGGACCUGCUGUUGGAGAGACUAACCACGCGACCCUGCGCCAGCCGUGUACUUCUCCUGCGGCCACCUGAAGCGUGCUCGUCGGCCUCAUAACACUCGGUCUUAGUCGCAACUUUGCGAGGCCUUCUCCUUGAGUAGACGGCCUUGUUCAUAUUGCGCUUCAUUUGUAUAUCGUCCACGUCCAGGUCCUCACUUGCCUGCUCUUCCUCGGGCUUGUAAGCAUCCUCCAGCGACUCACUGUUACUGCCUGGUGAAACCUCUUCGUGGUAAUCAGGGUCAUUGUCACCAUCUGGAGCUUCUCCAUUCUGUAAGGACUCAAUGACAGUCAUCCAGAAACAGAUGGUUUUAUCGCGGACGAGAAUCCCACUGAAGCUGUUUCGUCUGACGACAAACAGGGAUACAUAUGGAAGAAGGGGAAAGCAGCCAAGCGUGCUCGCAUGCCUUAUCACAGCAGCAGCAGCUCGGAAGAGGAUAAACUGGUAGACGUUCCUUGUGAUACCAAGGAAGGUCUUGAAGCGACUCGUGUAGAAAAUGGAGACACAAAGGUGGUGGCAAGGGCGAUCAUUAGCGAGUCCGAGUCGGAGAGGUCUCUUUCAGCUGACUACCUUGACGAACAGCAGAGACGAGAGCAGAAUCACACUCUUAUGAGCAAUAGCCUCGGCCACGGGGACUUUAGAAGUGCCUUGUUCUGGUAUUUCGAGGCUCUGAAAAGUAUCCUCGUUGUUGGACGUUUGUGCACAGUUUCUCAACUUGAGUACUAACUUUCGCUGAGACCUUGGCCGCCUGCAUUUACCCACGUCCGAAGUCUCUGCGGGACUCUUCUUCAGAGGUUCAUCGUCUUCACGUUCCUGAGUUUCUGUAAGAACUUUCCCGUUGCGUAGAAGCCUCUGGUUCUCGUUCUCUCCAGAUGUACCAGGUCUUUUGGCAUCCUCAGCGGCCAGGCGGCGUGCU
rnacentral:lncRNA from 1 species